GAAUGCUGACAUAAGUAACGAUAAAGCGGGUGAAAAGCCCGCUCGCCGGAAGACCAAGGGUUCCUGUCCAACGUUAAUCGGGGCAGGGUGAGUCGACCCCUAAGGCGAGGCCGAAAGGCGUAGUCGAUGGGAAACGGGUUAAUAUUCCCGUACUUGGUGUUACUGCGAAGGGGGGACGGAGAAGGCUAUGUUGGCCGGGCGACGGUUGUCCCGGUUUAAGCGUGUAGGUGUGUGUUCCAGGUAAAUCCGGUUCACUUUAACACUGAGGCGUGACGACGAGGCACUACGGUGCUGAAGCAACAAAUGCCCUGCUUCCAGGAAAAGCCUCUAAGCAUCAGGUAACAUCAAAUCGUACCCCAAACCGACACAGGUGGUCAGGUAGAGAAUACCAAGGCGCUUGAGAGAACUCGGGUGAAGGAACUAGGCAAAAUGGUGCCGUAACUUCGGGAGAAGGCACGCUGACACGUAGGUGAAGUGAUUUACUCAUGGAGCUGAAGUCAGUCGAAGAUACCAGCUGGCUGCAACUGUUUAUUAAAAACACAGCACUGUGCAAACACGAAAGUGGACGUAUACGGUGUGACGCCUGCCCGGUGCCGGAAGGUUAAUUGAUGGGGUCAGCGCAAGCGAAGCUCCUGAUCGAAGCCCCGGUAAACGGCGGCCGUAACUAUAACGGUCCUAAGGUAGCGAAAUUCCUUGUCGGGUAAGUUCCGACCUGCACGAAUGGCGUAAUGAUGGCCAGGCUGUCUCCACCCGAGACUCAGUGAAAUUGAACUCGCUGUGAAGAUGCAGUGUACCCGCGGCAAGACGGAAAGACCCCGUGAACCUUUACUAUAGCUUGACACUGAACAUUGAGCCUUGAUGUGUAGGAUAGGUGGGAGGCUUUGAAGUGUGGACGCCAGUCUGCAUGGAGCCGACCUUGAAAUACCACCCUUUAAUGUUUGAUGUUCUAACGUGGACCCGUUACCCGGGUUGCGGACAGUGUCUGGUGGGUAGUUUGACUGGGGCGGUCUCCUCC
rnacentral:rRNA from 6 species